CUCUGGUCUGUGGCAAAAAUAAUUAGGAUGUGUGUGUGUUAGAUUAAAGUUGCCUGCUGAUGUCCUGUCUAAUAUUCCGAUGUCAUAUCCAUGAUUUACAUGCACACAUGUGGCAGUGAUGUUAUAAAAUAUAUGAAAUGUAUAUUGUUACUUGAGCAGGUCCAUGAGGUGUCUGAUGAAGUCUCCCUGGCCCAGCAGCAAGUAUCUCCUCAUGGCCUGCAGGUGCUCCAGCAGCAGGUAGUUGCGGUUGAGGACGUUCAGCAGGUAUUUGCUGGUGUCAAAGUAAGCAGCGUCGAUCUUCUCCUGAAACGCCCCCUCCAGGUCGGACAGCAGCUCUGCAGCUACGGGAGAGGGUGGAGAUGGAGAAAGGUAUACAGAACAAGGACUUGAUGGUAUAUAUUUAUCUAUUACUGCAUUCAUUGAUUAGAAAAGCGAGGCAAGAAGGACGUUUGACUGGACUCGAGGUGAAGGGUCACGCAAAUACCCUCUGCUGGACGACAAGGGAGAAUUCAUCAUGACGUCCUUCAGCAGAUACAGUAAAAGCUACAGAUCAGUCCAGACCGAUGAAGUCCUACAGACUGAAUCAAUAGAUCAUGGCUAAGUAUACCUCUUUCCACUUCAUAGUCAGGAGGAGCGGAGGAGAAGGCCAGUGAACGGUAAGAGCAUCGAUCACUGCCAGUCCACUGGCCUUCGUCAAUACAACAAUAUCAAUACGAUGAGGAAGAAACAGUAGAGCUUGCAACGGCACUCUAACCUCUACACGAGCAUACUGCGGCAUGUUAUUGCCUCUUCCUAAUGUCACUUAAACUGUGUCUUACCAUCUUUAGGUGUGUCAGCAGACUUGGAUGCCGACGUGAUUUUGCCUGGCGGUGUUCUGUCGUGACAAACCUGGUGCAGGAAGUUGAUGGAUUUGCCAAUGAGCAGAACCUAGAAAGGAGAGGAGAUGAAGACGAGCUGAAUUUAACUUCAGCACUUAAGAGCAGAGUCCCGUGAUGAACUGGUGGUUAAUGCUGGACACAUAAAUACUAAAGACGCAGAAAACUCCCUGAUGGUUGCUCUGUAAAAGGAUCUCUGGGAGGACAGGAGCUUCAGACGUACCACGUCCAACAUGUUGAGAUUUUCAAAAGCACAAAUGCACAGAACACAUCAGAAAGAGGUUUGUACCUCGUGCAGUUCUCCUGGCCACUCAUCUUGAUGAACUUGCCGUCGAUUCCCUGGAAGACGUACAGGAUGUCCCGCACCAGCGCCGCCUCGCUCACCUCGCCUAUGCCAGCAGAGGACCAGAGCACCUGUGUCACCGUCUCUGCGAGGACGGAUCACUCGGGACGAGGGAACCGGAGGUCCGAGGAGGGGCCUGGUGGUGAGCGGAGCCAGAGCGGAGGACGGAGAGCAGCUCAUGGGAAGAGCCCAGGCUAGUCGAGAGCCCAGAGGCUGAGCGGACUGAGGAAGUUGACUAAAACACACACACGCAUGUUUACAGUUAGUUACAAAGUUCUGCACAGAUCAUUGAAAGCCACUAUACCCUUGCAUAUCUUCAAGCAUUUUUUCCAGGUUCAUGGCUACAAAAUAAAAUGUUAACAACAGCAAAUUAAACUUAAAUCAACUGAGCACAGACAUAAAAUACAGUGAGUGUUUUUAAUAGUUUUUUUUACAAUUAAAUGCUUUUUUAGGAGUAAGGACUACUUGCCCUUUCACGCUUAAAAGGUGAGCCUUUACAGCUCAAUGGUCAUUUGUAGCUGGAGGAUUCCUGCAUUAUUAAUAAGGAUGAAUGGAAUUAAAGGGCCUUCUGGUGCCUCAUAAAACAGAUUUAUAAGAGGUCAGGCUGAAAAGGACAGUUCAUGUUCUGCUGUUAAUUGACGCUUCCUUCUACUCACACACAAGUGUUUUUACAAAACCAGCAUCAAAAGAAUAAACCAGUCUCAUCAGAGCUUGUAUUUAACGUUACAUCCCCCCCAAAAAAGAUUCAAAAAUGUGUCUUCAGCCAGUGUGGUGGUGUGUGGAAGUGCGUAUGAAAGUUCUCACCCGGCCAGCAGCGACUGCGGCGUCGGCGUGGGUCCGUUCAGCGUGUAGACUCCCAGACUGGAGAUGCCACUGGUGCCGACGGUGGCCGACAGACCCCCGCUUCUCUCGCCGUAGCCCAGGGCCAGGCUUUGGGGCCGGGUGCAGUAGAACGGGGUGGAGUGGGCAUCCCUGGGCAGGGCCUGGGCAAACAGUGCCCCAUAGUUGCCAACCUGGGAUGGACAGGGGGGACAAUGAGGAGGUGAGUGUCUCAAAGAAAGUUUCACCCUCAUUCUAAAACCCUUUGAGACUGGCUGUGUGUGUGUGUGUGUUCCCUCACCCUGCCGGACGGUUUACGAGGGUCCUCGGACAGGCUGAGCAGCAGAUAGAGAACAGACCAGCGAUGCUUCAGAACGCUCUGUCAAAUGUUUUCUGUGCAGCUCCGAGAACAGAGCGGCAUCUGCCUCUCUCCUCUGCUUCAGCACUGCAACAGCAUCGAGACAAACUCCGUGAGCUGGGAUGUUUGAAUGAACUCAUCCCGUUCGAUGGUGGGGGCGUAGUUACUGCCAAUGACACGCACCGCAUACUGGAACUGGUGGGCAACUUCAGCUGGAGAAAGAAACAACAAGUAAGGGACACGCUGCCCAUCCUCAGAGAUGUCUGCAUCCAGCAGAGGCCUGCAGCAGCUAGCAGGACACAAGUGCAUCCUCCAGCCGUGCAAACAGUGCACUGGUCAGCAUCGGGGCUACAUGUAGGGCUAGCAAGCUAACAGAUGGCCGGAUGAACAAGUAGCCACCCGAUCAAAACCCCUAAACACCACUAGUGUAUUUCAGGAACAGCUCCACAAAGGCUGCUAAAGCGGUGUGUUCUUACAGCCAAGCCCAUUGGCUGACAGCUUCACGGACCUAGCCCCGCUUACGUGCCGUUAUCCUGCACAGAGAAAGUGAUGCCAAACAUCAUCGAGCUAGGUCACUUUCAAGCCUAUUAAGAAAUAAACAUGCUAUGUUUAGUUUAGCCCCAACAAACCACGUAGCACUCAUUUCCUACCGCUUUCUACAUCAUUCCGUCACAAAAACACACCGGGUUGAUCCAGUGCAAGCAGUGAAAACGUUCGAUUAUUGAUGAGAUCCUGGUUGUGUGGUGCGGGAAACAUACGCCGAACUUGUCAGAGGACAAUAACGAUUCAGUUGAUGUCUUCACCAUGUUACAAAGAUGUGUCUGAUCACCACUGUGACGAACUACGACUAAGUUGGCUAAUUUUUGAACGAGGUUAGGUUGAUGCAUACUGUCGGAAGUGGCGCGGUGCAUGCUAAUGCCCAGUGAUGUACCUUCGCU